rnacentral:snRNA from 1 species
GGAUGUGAGGGCAAUCUGGCUGCGACAUCUGUCACCCCACUGAUUGCCAGGGUUGAUUCUGCUGAUCUGGCUGGCUGGAGGUGGGGUGCCUUACCACUCUAUGUGUGUCCUUCCUGAAGUUGUGCACUAGGUUGAAGAGGAUGACCAUCCCCAGUAGAGGAGGGCCCGUCUUCAGUCAUGGGUAUAUGAGUAGCUGCAUUUCACUGCUGGAAAUUCCAAAUAGACUCUCAAAAUAUUACUGCUCAUUGACAAUGCAUCUGGUCACCCAAGAGCUCUGAUGGAGAUGUAGAAGAGUGAUGUUGUUGCUAU